rnacentral:rRNA from 1 species
AGUGGCGACCGGGUGAGUAAACGGGACUAACCUACUUCGAGUGGGGGAUAACCUCGGGAAACCGGGGCUAAUACCGCAUAAUGCCUACGGGUUAAAGGAGCAAUUCGCUUGAAGAGGGGGUCGCGGCUGAUUACCUAGUUGGUGGGGUAACGGCCCACCAAGGCGAUGAUCGGUAGCCGGCCUGAGAGGGCGCACGGCCACACUGGAACUGAAACACGGUCCAAACUCCUACGGGAGGCAGCAGUGGGGAAUUUUGCGCAAUGGGGGAAACCCUGACGCAGCAACGCCGCGUGGAGGAUGAAGUCCCUUGGGACGUAAACUCCUUUCGACCGGGACGAUAAUGACGGUACCGGUGGAAGAAGCCCCGGCUAACUUCAUGCCAGCAGCCGCGGUAAUACGAGGGGGGCGAGCGUUGUUCGGAAUUGUUUGGCGUAAAGGGCGCGUAGGCGGUGCGGUAAGUCACCUGUGAAACCUCUGGGCUCAACUCAAAGCCUGCAGGCGA